CUGUCAGUUAACUACAACAUUCCUCAUGAUGGCCAAGUCAUUCUUUUUCCAGCACUGGAAUCCCAGAACAUAUAUGUAUAUAUCAUCUGUAUAAGAGUAGAAUAGAUAAGAUAAAUAGAUAGAUUGAUUCAGUGAUUUGAAGUGGUCAUGGUGGUAAGAGUCAGUAUAAGCAGUGAUUCUGCUUGAAACAUUGCACUUAGAG